rnacentral:rRNA from 1 species
CCUGAUAGUGGGGGAUAGCCCAGAGAAAUCUGGAUUAAUACCGCAUAAUCUCUAUGGAGUAAAGGAGCCCUCUUCUUGAAAGGUUUCGCUAUCAGAUGAGCCUGCGUAAGAUUAGCUUGUUGGUGAGGUAAAAGCUCACCAAGGCGACGAUCUUUAGCUGGUCUGAGAGGAUGAUCAGCCACACUGGAACUGAGACACGGUCCAGACUCCUACGGGAGGCAGCAGUGGGGAAUAUUGGACAAUGGGCGAAAGCCUGAUCCAGCCACGCCGCGUGUGUGAUGAAGGCCUUCGGGUCGUAAA